rnacentral:rRNA from 1 species
GAUGAACGCUGGCGGCGUGCUUAACACAUGCAAGUCGAACGAAGCAUUUAGAACAGAUUACUUCGGUUUGAAGUUCUUUAUGACUGAGUGGCGGACGGGUGAGUAACGCGUGGGUAACCCGCCUUGUACUGGGGGAUAGCAGCUGGAAACGGCUGGUAAUACCGCAUAAGCGCACAAUGUUGCAUGACAUGGUGUGAAAAACUCCGGUGGUAUAAGAUGGACCCGCGUCUGAUUAGCUAGUUGGUGAGAUAGCAGCCCACCAAGGCGACGAUCAGUAGCCGACCUGAGAGGGUGACCGGCCACAGUGGGACUGAGACACGGCCCAGACUCCUACGGGAGGCAGCAGUGGGGAAUAUUGCACAAUGGAGGAAACUCUGAUGCAGCGACGCCGCGUGAGUGAAGAAGUAAUUCGUUAUGUAAAGCUCUAUCAGCAGGGAAGAUAGUGACGGUACCUGACUAAGAAGCUCCGGCUAAAUACGUG